rnacentral:tRNA from 1 species
GUUAGAGUGGCAGAGCCCGGUGAUUGCAAAAGGCCUAAGCCCUUUAAACAGAGGUUCAAGUCCUCUCCCUAACUA